AUGGUCGUGAUGAUUGAUAAACCACCAAACAAAAGGAAAAUUGCACAUUUGCUAGCAUUACAGUGUGAAGGAUGCUCUGCUGCUCCAAUUUGUCUUUUCUGUCAAAGCUUUCUUGUCAAAUGUAUGUGUUCAGAGUUGAAUCAAAGUUUCAAUACGGCAAAGUUGCUAGCAUUGCAGCAGUAUGCCCUUCCUAACAUAUGUAUUUGUGUUGUUCCUCACGCCUCUCUGUUUGCUAUGUUUUAUUGGUGCUCUGCAAAAGAACUCAACUCAAUGGAUGCAGGGAAGGAGAUGGAGGGUGACGCACAGCCAUGGAGAGGAGCAGCAGCGGCUCAAGAUUGUAUGAUGUGGUGGUUAUCUUUUUUCGUUGCUGGGGUCAUUGGAACCUGGAUGUCAUAUGUUAUGUGA
rnacentral:rRNA from 1 species